rnacentral:ncRNA from 2 species
CACUACCUAUUGCUCCUACUAAUCGAAUGAUUUGGUGAAAUGUUCAUAUUGUGGUGACAUGGGUGAUUCAUUGCCCGCAACGUCGUGAGAAGUUCAUUGAACCUUAUCAUCAAGAGAAAUGAGAAUUCGUAACAAGGUUUACGUAGGUGAACCUGCAGAAG